GACCUCGGAUCAGUAGGGUACCCCGCUGAACUUAAGCAUAUCUACCCGGGAAGAA
rnacentral:rRNA from 1 species